UACAACUGUUGCUAAGGUUUCUAGAGCAAUGCUAAAAGCAAUACUUGACGGUGUCGGUGAGCAGUAGCGUGGCUGUUUGACGCGGUCUUACCGUGCAUUGUGGCGGGAACGCGUGGUUCAGGAGCGUGAACACGCAGCAGCUGAAGCAGAGCAGCAGGCUGAUGGACUGGAUCAAACAGACCUGUCUCCGCAAAAAUGACCUUCAACCCACUGGCCACCACUGAAGUCCACCAUAUGAAGAAAAAACCUGGAACAGAACACAAGAUCAUUGUUGCAUAAUUUUACCAAUGAUUUAUUUUUAAUCGAGGCACAUCCUGAUGAUGAUAUAGUACUAUUAUUAGAUCCGACAGCAAUGUUGCAAUACACGAGUGUUCGUUGUAAUGUUUUAUCAUGUGUCACUAUUAUCUUUUAUUUGUGUAGGCUACGGACUAUUUAUACAUUUUUUACCAAAAUGACCCAUGUUGUUUUCAGAGUAUAUCACAGCAGUGUCCAUCUAUUGUUUUAAUAUGCAAAAUCAUAGCAGUGGGCAUUUACUUCCAGUUCUUGAUUGGGGAACACCUCAAAUCAAGUGAGAGUUUCAUAGGGAGGGUCAAAACCAGGACAGAAAAUAGCCUAUUACUACUCUAAAUCCACAGCUGAUCAUCUUCCACAGAGGUGGUCUUUCCUCACACUAUAACGUCAUUCUGAGAUGAAAUAUUAAACAAAAGAUGAAGGAAAAGUUGAUUUCUCAAUUCAUGACGUUCCUGGAAGACACCACUAAUAAGCAUGUGAGAUGAUUAAAGUAAUGCCUUAUUGCUUCAUAAGCACCAGUCAGAAGUUUAAACGCAAUGCUUUCUCAAGCCAACAUAAUAAUAAUAAUAAUAAUAAUAAUAAUAAUAAAAUCGAACAUUUACAAGCAAUAGCCUUGUCCUCAGCACAUAAUAUAGUUGGCUCUAUCCUGAAUUGUGUUUUAUUCAAAUGUAAGUUAUCCAAAAUAUUUACCAGUAUAACAAAUUUAUGAAACACUAUCAUAGCCGACACAUGCCACAUUUAGUCCCAAAUAAAAUCAGGCCAAAAAUGAUGGCCAACCUGCUAGAUGCAGAAAUCAUUUUAUAUUACAACAUUUUAAUUAAAUAAAUGUUUUUCAUUUUGCAGCAGUGCAUAAAACGUCUAUGCUCUGGAAAAAUGAUUGUGGAAAAAUGGUACAAGGCCAGGAAUGAUGCACAUUGCCAGGAAUGUGGGUUUUAGGAAUGUAGGACAGUCGAACAAUUGUGCCUGAGUGAAAGUUCUGGUAAAAUGUGGAUUACAUUAUUGCAAAGAGCUUGUUUGGAUAAAGGUCAGAAAACUGGUGUCAAAUUGCCGCUUGUUUGCCAUGUACAGAAAAAAAGAAAAGAAAGGUGAAGUAAUGAUAUUUUCCCCUCUUUUCAUUGGAAGGGUUUUGGUAACUUAUUGGGAAGUCGGAUUCUAUCAUCUCUUUUGAGUUAUGGUUUAUUCUUUUUAGUUUGUGAGGUCUUAUAUAAAAACUUAGAAAAUAAAAGUGGCUUGCUUUUGUCUAAUGUUCCUUUUUCAUUAAACAUCUCCUGUUGUA